ACGAACGCUGGCGGCAUGCCUAACACCUGCAAGUCGAACGAGACCUUCGGGUCUAGUGGCGCACGGGUGCGUAACGCGUGGGAACCUGCCCUUAGGUUCGGAAUAACUCCCCGAAAGGGGUGCUAAUACCGGAUAAUGUCUUCGGACCAAAGAUUUAUCGCCUUUGGAUGGGCCCGCGUUGGAUUAGCUAGUUGGUAGGGUAAAAGCCUACCAAGGCGACGAUCCAUAGCUGGUCUGAGAGGAUGAUCAGCCACACUGGGACUGAAACACGGCCCAGACUCCUACGGGAGGCAGCAGUGGGGAAUAUAGGACAAUGGGCGAAAGCCUGAUACAGCAAUGCCGCGUGAGUGAUGAAGGCCUUAGGGUUGUAAAGCUCUUUUACCCGGGAUGAUAAUGACAGUACCGGGAGAAUAAGCUCCGGCUAACUCCGUG
rnacentral:rRNA from 1 species